rnacentral:rRNA from 1 species
AACGCUGGCGGCGUGCCUAACACGAUGCAAGUCGAACGGAGAUUAACGCUGAUGAGGCUUCGGCGGAAUCUGUUAAAUCUUAGUGGCGGACGGGUGAGUAACGCGUGGGCAACCUGCCUCGUACUGGGGGAUAACAGUUGGAAACGACUGGUUAAUACCGCAUAAGCGCACGGUGUCGCAUGACACAGUGUGAAAAACUCCGGUGGUACGAGAUGGGCCCGCGUCAGAUUAGCUAGUUGGUGGGGUAACGGCUCACCAAGGCGACGAUCUGUAGCCGGACUGAGAGGUCGGACGGCCACAUUGGGACUGAGACACGGCCCAAACUCCUACGGGAGGCAGCAGUGGGGGAUAUUGCACAAUGGGCGAAAGCCUGAUGCAGCGACGCCGCCGUGAGUGAAGAAGUAUUUCGGUAUGUAAAGCUCUAUCAGCAGGGAAGAAAGGCCCGCAAGGGAGAUGACGGUACCUGACUAAGAAGCCCCGGCUAACUACGUGCCAGCCGCAGC